GAUGAACGCUGGCGGCGUGCCUAAUACAUGCAAGUCGAGCGAACAGACGAGGAGCUUGCUCCUCUGACGUUAGCGGCGGACGGGUGAGUAACACGUGGAUAACCUACCUAUAAGACUGGGAUAACUUCGGGAAACCGGAGCUAAUACCGGAUAAUAUAUUGAACCGCAUGGUUCAAUAGUGAAAGACGGUUUUGCUGUCACUUAUAGAUGGAUCCGCGCCGCAUUAGCUAGUUGGUAAGGUAACGGCUUACCAAGGCAACGAUGCGUAGCCGACCUGAGAGGGUGAUCGGCCACACGGGAACUGAGACACGGUCCAGACUCCUACGGGAGGCAGCAGUAGGGAAUCUUCCGCAAGGGGCGAAAGCCUGACGGAGCAACGCCGCGUGAGGGAUGAAGGUCUUCGGAUCGUAAAACUCUGUUAUUAGGGAAGAACAAAUGUGUAAGUAACUAUGCACGUCUUGACGGUACCUAAUCAGAAAGCCACGGCUAACUACGUG
rnacentral:rRNA from 1 species